rnacentral:tRNA from 1 species
UGGCUAGAGGUUAAAGCGUCUGCCUGCAAUGCAGGAGACCUGGGUUCGAUCCCUG